CCGGCGCGCGGGCGCGUUCCGCAGUCGGUGUUUGGGGCGCUGCGUGUGUAGUGACUCGGUCUCUGCUCCGGGUUCGCUGUCACAGCCCAGCCCUCCCUGGAGUCCGGGACGGACAGGGCACGCGCCCGUGUCUAUGUGUCAGCGGGACUCAGGACAGAGGCGUCCUCUUGCUGCCUUUUUUUCUUCCUUUUAUCCAAAGAAGGGGGCAGUUCUCACGCUUGCCUUCCUGUCGCCCCGUUGGGAGCGGGGUUGGUGUGCGGAGUGGUUCGUCUUUUUUUCUUUUAAACUUGUGAGCGCUUUUUUUUUUUUCUUCCCCUUUUUUAGGCUCAGUGCCGUCUGGACUGGUUUCCUCGGUCCCUGACUCACCUCUUUCUGCCCCUUCUCUCGCCACCCCCGCCCAAGGUCGCCCCUCCGCCCUCGCCCCUGGCCCGGGGUGGGUGGGAAGCUUUGUCCGGCUCCCUCCCCACCCGAGUCUCCGCAGCGUAGCCGCACCUGCCUCAAUAUGAACGGGGUCAGGGACCCCCCUCUUUUUAUAAAAGAUAUUAAGCCCGGACUGAAAAACUUAAAUGUCGUCUUUAUUGUCCUGGAGAUAGGACGCGUGACCAAAACCAAAGACGGCCAUGAAGUGAGAUCAUGCAAAGUAGCAGAUAAAACUGGCAGCAUCACUAUUUCCGUGUGGGAUGAAAUCGGAGGUCUUAUACAGCCAGGGGAUAUUAUUCGGUUGACCAGAGGGUAUGCAUCCAUGUGGAAAGGAUGUCUGACACUUUAUACUGGAAGGGGUGGAGAACUUCAGAAAAUUGGGGAAUUUUGUAUGGUUUAUUCAGAAUUGCCAAAUUUCAGUGAACCUAACCCAGAUUAUCGAGGACAACAGAACAAAGGGGCACACAAUGAACAGAAGAAUAAUUCCAUGAAUAAUAGUAACAAUGUGGGUACAGGUACAUUUGGACCAGUGGGAAAUGGGGUUCAGACUGGCCCAGAAGCGAGGGGAUGCCAAUUUUCAUAUGCUGGUAGAAGCAAUGGCCGGGGACCUAUAAAUCCACAGCUACCAGGAACAGCUAAUAAUCAAACAGUCAUGACCACAAUAAGUAAUGGCAGGGACCCUCGGAGAGCCUUUAAAAGAUGACCUUUGCCAAAUACUCGCAUGUAGUUUUUAAACUAUAUGCCCUACUUGAACACUUAAUGCACUUUUAUUUAUUGUUAACUGUGAAAACUGUUCUUUAUCUGUUCUUUUUAUGUUUUUGGUUUGUUAACAAGAGUGGUUUGUUUUUUAUAGAAGAACUAUUAAGCUGCUCGAGUCUCCUAUUGAAGAAUGGGAACACUCUGAAGAAUAGGGGCAUUUAUUUUUAGAGCAAAAAGAUCUUUGGAUAUCCUCUAAAAAACCUGCACCCAUUUCAUGGGGUCCUGGGUAUUUGCAGAAAAUCAGCCUGGAGUGAAAAUCCUAGGGAAGCCUCCAAAACCAAAGCAAAGUGAGUUACAAUUCAUAAUGAAUAUUUGCCUUCUCAGCCUGCUUGGACAGUACUCAUCAAGAAGUUAAGAGGAAGAAAGUUUCCUACCUUUCCUCCUUCCUGGCGCUUUCAGCUAACAACUUCAUAAGUUUAAACACCUACUGAAAACAAAGGCCAUUUGGUACAGAAAUACACACUACUGGGUUUGGGUCCCACUUUAUUUUUAUAAGUCAGUUCUGAAGUGGAUUGAAGUGGAUUGAAGUCUCAUUAGGCAGGUGGCCCCUUCUCUCUGGGCAGGUUCUUUGAGGGGUUACUACAAUACAGACUUGGAAACAUGGAGCCCAUGAAACAAGGUGGUGAUGCGUAUUAGUGAAGCCUGCAGUAUGCUUUCCCAUGGACAUUUACACCAACUCAUUUUUGCUUGGUUCCUGUAGUUUUAGUAAUUGCAUUUUAAAUUUGAGGACAGUUUAACUUGAGGCUCACCUAAAUAAUUGUAUCACUGAGAAGUGAGUAUUUGUCACUUGUAGUUUUAUCUUUCAACAUUUUAAGAGAAUGUUUAAUUUGCUGGAUUGAGUAAUAACUCCAAGGCAAUGAUACUAAAAACAAAUAGAUGCAAGUUUAGUAAAAUCAAUGAUCUAUAAAGAACUUGUAAUCAGAAGGUGAUUAACUGGCCCUAGAAAGUUUUCUCAGAAGGUACAAAUUUGAGAGUAUUUUACAUCAGUCUUAAGACACAGUAGAAGUUCUGGAAUGUGGAUCUGACAUUCCAAUUUAGUUACUGACAUGCCUUCCUUUCUUAUACCUUAAUAAUACCAUUAUAAUGUACCAUAAUAAGAGGUUGUUCCAAUUGUAGGCUGCUGUGACUUAAAGAGACUUUAAUGUAUUCACAAAUGUUCUAUAAACAACAAACAAGAAAACCACGUGAAAAGCAGUUUUAACAUAAGACUUUUUCACACCAAACUCUGUUCUUUCCUCUAGACUUGUUUUUGGGGUAGCUUUUGCUAUGAUGCUGUUUUUUUUUAAUAUACUUUUCCUUCUGUUAAUUCGUUUUAUCCCCUAUCCAAUGGAAGUGAACAUUUCUAGUAGAAGAGAAUCACAGUUGUUCUCUGGUACAGGAUUAAUGAUAAGUAAAAGCAGAUAAUACUUGGUCAUAGUGACAAUCUGUGUAUUGAGGUUCCAGCCAGUUAUUAAAUAGAUGUUAGGGUAAACAGCCCCACAUUUCACAAAGUAGCCAUGAUGACCAACAGUUGAGGUAUGCUUUUGAGGAAACCUAAUUGUGACCUUGGGAAAACAGCACUAUCCUGAGUGGUAUGUUGUGAAACUAGAAAAACUUUCCAGAUGUGUUCAAGUUUUUUUCCAAAUCUCUUCAGGUUUGCUUUAUUAGGGAUGCACCAGAAUUUGUUCCAAUGCUGUGACCAGAGUACUCCAGGUUUCUGAGCUAAAAGUGUAUAAUGAUGUUUCUUAAAACACUGAUCACAGAUGAGAGAAUCAAGUCCAGACCAUCUGACAAGCCAUUUAUGUAGUAUGUUUCCUCAUUAAGAACAUUAGGUCCUAAGAGCUGUUUACCACUGAGAUCAUCAGUAUGAUGAAGAGAAAACGAGCAUUUUAACAAGUUUUGACUAGUAGACAUUCCAUUUGUCUUUUUCAAAGCCUUGAUAAGUAACACAUGUCUUUAAAAAUAAGAUCUUGAACCAUUUUUAACCAAAAUUUGAGUACAUUUUUGUUUCAUGCCAACAAUAUUUAUACUUCUGGACAUAAAGAGUCCAGUUUCUUUGUCCACGUAUUGAUACCGCAUAAAACUCUCAAAGAAUGGUUUAUAAACCUAUAUGAGAUUUUCCCCAGGAACUUGUUAGGUGUAUGGAUUAUUUCUCUGCUCCACCAGAAGAAUGUGUAAGUGUAGGUUGAAGAGAGCUGCACUUGAAACAAAGUCCCUGAAGACUUUUGUCUCCUGCCCUUGAUAUUAACACAGAAAUAACUUUAUCUUGAAAUAUAUGCAUAUGAAAUAUAUGCAUAUACACAUGCACAUACCAGUUUAUUUUUGUGAGGUUAGAAUAUAUCAAGGUUCUAGAUUAUAAAAAAUAGUACUUAGACAUAUACGCCUCCAAAAGUCAGAAUUGAUGGGUAAGGCAGGGUGAUUCCAAGCAGGGUAGAGUUUGAGUACAGCCUCUGUUAGCACGCUUGAGUUUUGAAUUAGGUUCAAAUAGAGUAUCUUAGGGUCAGGUCAUCCAUAGUGGAAUUGCGUGGCUUCCUCUGGACCUAUAUUGAUCAAAGUGAAAAUAUCCCUUUUCAAACGUUAGUUUUCUGUUAAAAAGAAUUAAAAUAGAUUUUAUCAUUGCUUAUUUCAGCAAGCCUGUUUGCAGCAGCCAUCUGCCUUCCUCCUGUCUCCCAAAGCAUUCCUCAAUUCCUUUUAUUGUGUAGAGAGGCUGGCCAAAUUGAAAAGUAGUGGAAUUGGAGGCCUGAUAAACUUUGCUGAGAAUACCUCCAGAACCUACCCUCAUUGACCUCAAUCCUGUUCUACAGAGGGGCAGGUAUCAUAAAUAGUUUUCAUAAAUGAGUAAUAAGCAAGGCAUAGUUUGACUGCCUGGUGGGGCUAGUCUUGAUUCAAAUAUUUAUAACCCUAACAGGAAGCUGAGUAAGACCUUUGACUUAAGACUAAGAUAGAAAACCAAUAAAAACAGGGUAGUCAGCAUAAUUAGUGCCAUCUACUGGAUGGUUACUAAAUUGUUUCAGUAAUUUAGGAAUCUGGCUUAAAGUGGGAGAAAGUUGCCAUUAUUCCAUCAGAUGGGAGUUUUUUUGAUGUUUAAGCAUGUGUGGAAGAUCAAUAAGGAGAAAUUGAGCAAUAUGUUUAUAAUUGAUGAACAAGCAACAUGGACAUCAAAAGUAGAUUCCUUUCAAUUAAACAGCUUUAUUAAAUCCUGUAUAGCUCCCUGAAGGGUCAGAAAAUAUGGGAAUUUUUGCCAAGUUUUGUACUCUUGUUAUAUAUAUCAAUAAUACUGGUGGGAAGUGUAAAUUGUUAAAAAUACCUUUGGGUGGGCAGUGGUUUGGUGAAAACAGUUGGAAGUAGAACACGAAACUGCUCUUAUAAAUUUUAUUCCUUUACUAACGAUAUUUUGUCAAAUCCUGGCCAAGUGACUGCUGUCCUUGGAGUUACGUUAGCUUUGCAGAACAUAACCUAUUUUAAUUGCCAGAGACAGUGUGCUUUGGUGAAAAGAACAUAGUUUGAGCUGAGGAGAUCUUGGUUUGAGACCUAGAUCUAUUUUCUGGCUCUAUGGUCAUGAACUUCAUUGUAAAAAGAGAAAUUGGAGGCUAUCUAUAUACUGACAGAUGAGAACUGUGUGAGCCAAUGUAUGCAAAACAUCUGUUCCAUAUCUAGAGCUCAACAAGUGUUAUGUUUUUUUCCCCAUGAGCAAUGGAAAUAAGAGGCAAAUACUGGUCAUUUCUCCAUGCCAUUAUUAGGAGACAACCUUUUCUAUAAUAUCUGGAAUAUUAAGCAGUUUUUAUAAUUGCAAUUAGGUUCCUUUUUAAAACAAGCUUUUAGAGUUCUGGAUGCAGAAAAGUACUAUGCUGAGAAUUUACCAUGACAGUUGCUGGAUUGAGUCUUCAUCACAAAAUCUGUCCAAUAGCUGAGUACCUUGCACUGUUUUUUUCCAUUCAUCCUUUCCCAGAGGGUGAAGGCGUGACUAUGAAAGUGCAGGGGAAGAAGAAUGUGUGGGCCAGGGUUUGUGUCAGGGAGAAAGUCAGUGACCAAGGGGAAAACAGAGGGUAUUGGAAGGGAUUCUCUAUUUCCAAUGACACCCUCAGUGUUGCUGUAUACCCAGAGUUUGCCGGUUUGCUUCUGAUAAAGCAUUAGGUAACUUUCCCCAACAUUCUAUUAUGAAAAAUUUCAAAUGUGUUGAAAGAGUUGUAGACACGUGUACUUGCCAGUGAGAUAUUACCAUUACUAUCUGACUGCUUGUUUUUAUUCCAUCUAUUCAUCCUAUUCUAUUCAUUAGUCUUUUUAAUACAUUUCAACUAAACCACAGACAUCAAUGAACAAUAUUUCACUAUUUUGGCAUAUGUGUUCAUUAAUGGAAUUCAAGGUGGAUUUUUAGUGUAAAAUUUACAAAGAAACGCACAAAUCUCAGGUGUACAUUUGUGAGCUUUAAUGAAUGCCUAUGCCACCUGUGUAACUCCAACCCCUGUGGAGACACAGAACAUUGUCAUCAUUCCAGAAUGUUCUCUCAUGUAGCUUCCCAAGUGAAUUCCUUAUCCCCACAGACCCAGUGGCAGUCACUUUUCUGAUAUUUUAAAAACCACUCAGCUUAAAGCUAACAGUUUCCCAUGUACCAAGGGCAGCUCUAAAUUGCCUCACUGAGUUACAUAAUUCCAGUUUCAACCAUGCCAGAGUACAACCAAGCCCAGCACCCUCACACACCUCACAAGUGUAAUUCCAUGACCUUGGUAUUUUUGAGAGUCUCUCCUUGUUUCAGUUUAGCUCCAGCUCUGCCCCUACUAGCAUCUAUUUUUUCCCCCUCAACAUUUACAUCUGACACCCUAGACUCUUGGGGCAGAAACUGCUGGAAUGAAGACCAGCUGAGCAGUGCAGUCCUACGAAUGUGACUGAAAGGAGUUGGUUACCUGGCACACACCACUGCCGAGAGCAGCUCUGUCAGGGAUUAGGGGGAGCCUCUGGUAGGAUAUGAUAUGAAGUCCUCUGGGAUGCAGUGUCAGGAGUAGAAGAGACACACUGGAACUUCAGUGUUUGCAGGUCUAAUGCUCAGCUGUUUAGCAGAUCUUGAGUCUAAAACUGAUUUCUUAAGGCAUGAGCUGACCAGAAGUGUCUUCUGCUUAACGGUUUUGCCUUUUCUUUCCAUCAUUUGGCUUCAAAGCUGGGAUACUCGGUGUGUGAAAGUUCCUUGCCAAGCAGAGGCCCGCCAUUCUCAGAUUAUAGGGAAGCAUCCCCAAGUGAAACACACUGAAGAAAACACUAUUGUGUGUUCUUUCUCAAUUUAUGUACACAUGUAUACACACAUAGUAAUCACUGCCAACAAAGUUUUUUCUGCAUUAAGCCCACAUUUCUCAGUCUUAGGUACUUGCCUUUUUCUAUUACUUGGUCUCUCCACUUCUUUAAUGGGUACCCAUAAUUUAUUGCACCCUUACUAUGGGCAUGAGUUCCCUACAUUAUCUCAUUGAUCUAUUAAAUGACCCCGUGAAGGUUUUCUUAUCCUCACAGCUUAAAGAUAAAAGUGACUAAGAUUUAGGAGGGUUGAGCAGUUUGCCUGAGAUCA